CCUGACGACGCAACGCCGCGUGGAGGAUGAAGGUCUUCGGAUUGUAAACUCCUGUUGCCCGGGACGAAUGGCUCCAACCUAAUACGUUGGAGUGUGACGGUACCGGGUGAGGAAGCCCCGGCUAACUCUGUGCCAGCAGCCGCGGUAAUACAGAGGGGGCAAGCGUUGUUCGGAAUUACUGGGCGUAAAGGGCGCGUAGGCGGCCUUCUAAGUCGAACGUGAAAUCCCCGGGCUCAACCCGGGAACUGCGUCCGAGACUGGAAGGCUCGAAUCCGGGAGAGGGAUGUGGAAUUCCAGGUGUAGCGGUGAAAUGCGUAGAUAUCUGGAGGAACAUCGGUGGCGAAGGCGGCAUCCUGGACCGGUAUUGACGCUGAGGCGCGAAAGCCAGGGGAGCAAACGGGAUUAGAUACCCCGGUAGUCCUGGCCCUAAACGAUGAAUGCUUGGUGUGGCGGGUAUCGAUCCCUGCCGUGCCGAAGCUAACGCAUUAAGCAUUCCGCCUGGGGAGUACGGUCGCAAGGCUG
rnacentral:rRNA from 1 species